UGUAGGGGAAAGGCCUACCAAGACGAUGAUUGGUAGCUGAAUGAGAGGUGAACAGCCACAUUGGAUUGAGACACGGCCCAAACUCCUACGGGAGGCAGCAGUAGGGAAUUUUCGGCAAUGGAGGAAACUUUGACCGAGCAACGCCGCGUGAAUGACGAAGUACUUCGGUAUGUAAAGUUCUUUAUCAAGGAAGAAAAGCAAAUGGCGAACCAUUUGUUUGCCGGUACUUGAUGAAUAAGCCCCGGCUAAUUAUGUGCCAGCAGCCGCGGUAAGACAUAAGGGGCAAGUGUUAUCCGGAAUUAUUGGGCGUAAAGGGUGCGUAGGCGGUCUAGUAAGUCAGUGGUGUAAUGGCAACGCUUAACGUUGUCCGGCUAUUGAAACUGCUAAACUUGAGUUAGAUAGAGGCGAGUGGAAUUCCAUGUGUAGCGGUAAAAUGCGUAAAUAUAUGGAGGAACACCAGAGGCGUAGGCGGCUCGCUGGGUCUUAACUGACGCUGAGGCACGAAAGCGUGGGGAGCAAACAGGAUUAGAUACCCUGGUAGUCCACGCCGUAAACGAUGAGUACUAAGUGUCGGGUUAAACCGGUACUGAAGUUAACACAUUAAGUACUCCGCCUGAGUAGUACGUACGCAAGUAUGAAACUUAAAGGAAUUGACGGGACUCCGCACAAGCGGUGGAUCAUGUUGUUUAAUUCGAAGAUACCCGAAAAACCUUACCAGGUCUUGACAUGUUUUUGCAAAAUGAUAGUAAUAUCGUGGAGGUUACCAGAAACACAGGUGGUGCAUGGUUGUCGUCAGCUCGUGUCGUGAGAUGUUAGGUUAAGUCCUAAAACGAGCGAAACCCUUAUCGUUAGUUGCCAGCACGUUAUGGUGGGGACUUUAACGAGACUGCCAAUGAUAAAUUGGAGGAAGGUGAGGAUCACGUCAAAUCAGCAUGCCCCUUAUGACCUGGGCUACAAACGUGAUACAAUGGCUGUUACAAAGGGUAGCUGAAACGCAAGUUCUUGGCCAAUCCCCAAAAACAGUCCCAGUCCGGAUUGAAGUCUGCAACUCGACUUCAUGAAGUUGGAAUCGGCUAGUAAUCGCGAAUCAGCAC
rnacentral:rRNA from 1 species